rnacentral:rRNA from 1 species
AGGAUUUUCUUAGUAGCGGCGAGCGAAAAGAAAUCAGUUCAGCACUAAGUCACUUUGUCUUUAUGGCAAAUGUGAGAUGCAGUGUAUGGAAUGUCAAAUUUCUAGUAUGAGAAAUUAACGAUUUAAGUCCUUCUUAAAUGAGGCCAUUUACCCAUAGAGGGUGCCAGGCCCGUAUAACGUUAAUGAUUACUAGAUGGCAUUUCCAAAGAGUCGUGUUGCUUGAUAGUGCAGCACUAAGUGGGUGGUAAACUCCAUCUAAAACUAAAUAUAACCAUGAGACCGAUAGUAAACAAGUACCGUGAGGGAAAGUUGAAAAGAACUCUGAAUAGAGAGUUAAAUAGUACGUGAAACUGCUUAGAGGUUAAGCCCGAUGAACCUGAAUAUCCAUUAUAGAAAAUUCAUCAUUAUGAUUUUAAUAUUUAUAAUAUUAUAAUAAUGGUGUGCAUUUUUUCUAUAACGGACAUUGUAAUCUAUUAACAUAAAUAUAUUUAUCAUAAGAUCAAUGAUGCGUAAGUUUAUUCAAAUUAUUUUGCUUGCAAUUUAACAUAGAAUAAAUGCUCUUGAUUUGAUAAAGUGUUGAUAGAUUUAUUGUAUAUAGUGCUUAAAUAUUUAUAUUUUAUAAUAGCAUAUUAAUCAUUGAUUUUUAUGUUUAUUAUAUGCACUUAUAUGAUUAACAAUGCGAAAGAUUCAGGAUACCUUCGGGACCCGUCUUGAAACACGG